UGUGUACAUGAUGGGGAAGGGAGACAUUGCCAAGGAGGCCUUUUUCGACAAUUCACGAGGAAGUGGUUUGUUGGCGGAGGCACGAUCUGGCGUGCUACGUACUCGACACUGGAGGGCACACUAUGUUGACGGGCAGCAGACUCAAUGCAUCCUUUGCAAUGCAGCAGAGGAAACAAUCGAACACAUAGUCCUCCAGUGUCCGAAGAUCCACCCACCCUCCGGGACAACUUCGCUACAGACGGCACUCGGUUUUGUCGAGGGAGAAGACCAGCGUAAAGGCGCCAGAACACAUGUGGAGCUAACCAAACAACGGUUGGAGCACUGGUGGCGGUAUGGUGCGCCGCGGUGACUCUCGUGCCCAUGUUUCCGGGAAUGUCUUGGAGCCGCGAUGCUCUGAAAUACGUUUCUUUUUUUUUUUUUUUUUUUUCCCAGGCUACGCCGCGCAUUGAGCGCAGGCGACCCGAUUCAAAGGGUAUAGCCAGAUCAUCAUCGCCAUCGCCAUCGUGUUUGGAGUUCGGAUAGAUCAGACUCUUCGUUGGCCUCGUUUUUAGGUGUUUGAUCCGUGACGUUUCGUCGAAAAAUCACAAGCGCGCAUGCCGUAGGUGUUUGCCUGGUUGCAAGAUCUUGCCGAUUUCAACGUUUUUCCACCUCUUCGGUUGGCGUACGCUGAACUGGACCCUCGCAGCAAGAAUGGCACGUGGGAAUUGACACCGCGAUCGUGGAACACAUGGCUGAUCUGCCUCGAAUAACUGCAAGCCGGCGCGUGCGUAGUGCCGUGGAGAACGAUCAGAAGUCCUGGACGACAAAGAAAAAACUUCAAAGGUUUGUUGUACAUGUUUUCCACGGCAACUGACAUAAGCGUAAAAAAAAAAUGGAAUGGUCAAAUGCAUGUGUCAAGUUUAACCAUUUGUAGUGGGCUGUGGACAUGAAUUAAGCAUUGCUGCACACAAGACUGGCUUGCCGUAAGUUUAUGCCCAGUACCAAAUUUUUUGCUCUCAUUAUGACACCAUUUGUAAGAAAAGCCAGAACUUAUGUUCAAAACAGCGCAUAUUCUUGCUAUUCUUUUAUUCAGUUGCACGUGUGAGUCCUGCUGCUGGCCAUCAGUUAGCCGGUUAUGAGAAGAAAAGGGCACAGCCCAGUUUUGUACUGGUAUAUACCGUAUCGUUUGUGAUUAUGAUCAUGAUUUUUGUCUUACUGAAACAACAAACUGAAAAAUGUAUGUUGGUGUUUCUGCUACAUCUCUAUGAAGCAGCAGAACCUGUUGUUCAGUCACUUGGUGCAUAUUAGCAACUGGCACCUUGUCUGGCUUCCCGAUACCUCCGCCUUUUUUCAGUGCAUGUUGUUUUCAUCCUUUACCAGCAGCCAAGUAGUUUCACACAACCGAAAUGACCAACUAGCCCACUCUGUUUGUCAAGUAGGUUUUACUUCCAAACAAAUGUAGCACAUUUGUGAUAUGCACUGUUGCUCAAUGAUAUUCUUUUUGCAUGUGCUAGCUGUGUACACAUAUUACAUGAUCUUUUUUCUUUUUUUUCAGCUGCUUCUAGUAGUGGUGCCCCUGGUGUGCACCUUUACCCCAAAUGUCUGCACCUUUGCCUACCGGUAAUGACAUAGAAUGUGCUCAGCUUCCUGGACAUAGGCAUGCAGGUUAAGAGACGGAAAACGUGCAGCUUAGACUUCAUGCCUGUAAAUGCGAAAGUCGUAACCGACAUAAUUAGAGUAAGCUAAAAGGAGAAAUUUCUACUUAUGAGCAAGUAAUUAUGAAGCAGGUUUUACUCCUCUUAAACUAGCAGACAUGCAACAACACAGUUGUGCUAUGUUUGUUUUGUGCGCCACUUUCAUGCAUAUUUGUGCUUGCAGUGGAUAUGCAUAUACAUGAAGGAUUUGUUUUUUUUUCCCUCAGCUGCCUCUGCGAACCCCGCUCCUGGACAACAGCUGGGAGGCUCUGUGUUUAAACGCGUGCACCUUGGACAUCAUGCUCGUAAAUACCAAUUCCUUUGUCAUUCCUGGCAUGAAUUUCGUUGGUAAAGCAAUAAGUAAAAUUGUGCAUUGUUGUUUACAAGCACUUCAGUAUGAACCAGGCUUAAAGGAGAAGGGACCGACAACUGGCCAGAACUUGUGAUUAGAUCCUGUCAGAAAUGAAAAGACCGCGCUAUAUACUACUGACAUAUUCCAGCAUCCUUUUCGCGCUGUGAGUAGGAUUUAUAUCUCUAAAUUGUGUUUAAAAGUAACAAAAAAAAGGCAUGUUGUGCAACCUAUCGCAAGAGCCUUGAAGCUAGAUUGCGGAGUUGAUCACUUUGCUGUACAAAGUCACGUAGUCUGAUACCGUCAUGUGUGCCAUUAUUGGUCCUAAAAAUUAUAGUAUGUAUAUUACUAUCCAUCCCCGCUCUAUUCUGUGCUGCUUAUGAGGUAAAAGGAGUUGCAUGGUGACAAGUAAUGGCGCUGCCUUCGCGGUAGCCAGUGGACCAUGUCGAGCCGCAGCGCAUGCACGCGAGUACACACACACGCAGUAAACCGCCGCGCUCGAACACGAACCGCUGUCACGCUCACUGUUUGCAUCAUGUCUUUCUUGUCACGUGUGUAUACGACUUCAUAUCCGUCGCAGAUAGAAAAAUUAGAAUUACAACUGUUUCACAGCAUUUUCCACAUCACCAUUCCUUGAUUAUACACUCUGACUGGUAAGCUUUCUGUCGCGUUAAAGAAAAUAGGUACCAUAAAAGUUGGUUGUUGGUCCCUUUAACCUCUUAACACACACACAGGACAAAAUAGGCAUGCUAUAUCCCUGUUGUGCACCAUCUUUGUGCGUUUGUGUGUGCAGUAUGGACAUGUACAUUAAGGCUUUGUUUUUGUUCUCAGCUGCCUCUGCGAGCCCUGCUGUUGGACGCCAGUUGGAAUGCUCUGCAUUUGAAAGCGUGCACCACAGAUGUCAUGCUCAUAAAUACAGAGUUCUCAUGAUUCUAGUGUUGACAAAGCACUAAGUAAAAGCAGGCACUUGUGCAUCUGCAAUGAGGUUUAACCCUGUCUCAGGAGACAUAAGACAAUAUAGUCAUGCUAUGUUCCUGUUGUUCACCAUUUUCAUGCAUGUUGUGUGCAGUACGUAUACAUACAUGCAGGCUUUGUUUUUGUUGUCCUCAGCUGCCUCUGCAAGCCCUUUUGCUGGACGCCAUGGAAGGCCCUCCACUCGAAAGUGUGCACCUUAGACUACACGCUCAUCAAUACCAAGUUCUCUGUCCUUCUCGGCAUGAUUGUAGUGCCAUAUAAUAGUGAGGCAAUAAAUCAUUUUUGCUGGUCA